CCCAAUGUUUGUUAUAAACUCAGUAAAGUUGCUAGAUAUCAGUUCAUUAUCUCAAUUGUGUUAGUUAAACUAUUAACUUUUAGAAAAGUAAAUAAUAUUAUAGUUCUUUGCUUUAACUAUAAUAUUAUUAUUGGUAUUUUAUAAAUAUGGGAGAUCAAGUAGUUGCACACGAAUCAGACAUUUCUGAUGUAGAGGAGGAGGAUAGUUUUUUUCAAGAUGUUGAUGUUCUUCAAAAUCAUGGAAUAAAUGUUGCAGACAUAAAGAAACUGAAGGUGGCUGGAAUAUGUACAAUUAAAGGUAUUCAGAUGUGCACUCGCAAAAGGCUGUGUAAUAUCAAAGGGUUUUCUGAAGCAAAAGUUGAUAAAAUCAAAGAAGCUUGUGCUAAGUUGUCAGCUAUAAGUUUCCUAACAGCUCUUCAAGUCAGUGAUAAGCGUAAGAAUGUUUUCCGAGUUUCAACUGGAAGCGAGGAGUUGGACAAGUUGCUGGGUGGAGGUGUGGAAUCGAUGGCCAUUACAGAAGCGUUUGGUGAGUUCCGCACUGGAAAGACCCAACUGUCUCACACACUCUGUGUAAUGGUCCAGAUACCCAGUGGUAACUACAGUGGUGGAAAGGUCAUCUUCAUAGACACAGAGAACACUUUCCGGCCGGAUAGGCUGCGCCCGAUCGCCCAGAGGUUCAACCUCGACCAGACUGCAGUUUUGGAUAACAUCUUGUAUGCCAGGGCCUACACCAGUGAGCAUCAGUUCGAGCUCCUGGACUAUGUGGCAGCCAAGUUCCACGAAGAGCCUGGUGUCUUCAAAUUACUGGUUGUGGAUUCUAUUAUGGCACUGUUCCGAGUGGACUUCAGUGGCCGAGGGGAACUGGCAGAUAGACAGCAGAAGCUGGCCCAGAUGAUGUCUCGUCUGCAGAAGAUUUCAGAGGAGUACAAUGUGGCUGUGUUUAUUACUAACCAGAUGACUGCAGACCCUGGAGCCACACUCACUUUUCAGGUUGUCAGCCUAACGUCCAACCCCCAACCUGGAGGACCAGGGUGUCCCUUCUCGUCUGGCUCCUACCUCACGAAGACCUGUCCGGCAAGGGAGACCCUACCAGUAGCUAAGCUACCGCCGGCAUAGCUCUCGAGGUUGUCAGAGCACACAAGCCCCACCGCCACAUCAAGGCUGAUCCGAAGAAACCAAUUGGCGGAAACAUUCUGGCCCAUGCCUCCACCACCCGCAUCUCAUUGAGGAAAGGUCGGGGGGAAACUAGAAUUGCCAAGAUUUAUGAUAGUCCUGAUAUGCCAGAGAAUGAAGCCAC
rnacentral:misc_RNA from 1 species